rnacentral:rRNA from 1 species
AACGUAGGGGGCGAGCGUUGUCCGGAAUCACUGGACGUAAAGGGUGCGUAGGCGGUCGAGCAAGUCUGGAGUGAAAGUCCAUGGCUCAACCAUAGGAUGGCUUUGGAAACUGCUUGACUUGAGUGCUGGAGAGGCAAGGGGAAUUCCACGUGUAGCGGUGAAAUGCGUAGAGAUGUGGAGGAAUACCAGUGGCGAAGGCGCCUUGCUGGACAGUGACUGACGCUGAGGCACGAAAGCGUGGGGAGCAAACAGG